GGGGCUGAUCGGUUUCGACUUGGGACGUUAGUUCCAGGGGAAGCGGGUCGAGAAGCCAGCGUCAUCUCGUAAACGAUCGCUGGAAACCAAUAACUGCCAACGCUAAGCGCAGUUCCUUCGCUCUCGCCGCCUGACGCGGUGAUCGAAGCGUCUGACCGGGCAUCCGUCUCCGUCCCGGACCCAGGCGUCAUCUAGGAGACUUGCUGAUCCACUGCUGUCAGGGUGGUUGAUCGGGACUCAAACCUGACUGAGCCUGUCGGUGACGUGUCCGUGCGAGCACCGGGGCUGAGAACACGACAUCACGGACUGCACCCGGAGAAGACCUGGAUCGACGCUCGAGGACCGGGGUUCGAUUCCCCGCAGCUCCACCA
rnacentral:tmRNA from 1 species